rnacentral:rRNA from 1 species
UUGAGCUUGAUCCUGGCUCAGAUUGAACGCUGGCGGCAGGCCUAACACAUGCAAGUCGAGCGGAAACGAUGGAAGCUUGCUUCCAGGCGUCGAGCGGCGGACGGGUGAGUAAUGCAUAGGAAUCUGCCCGAUAGUGGGGGAUAACGUGGGGAAACCCACGCUAAUACCGCAUACGUCCUACGGGAGAAAGCAGGGGAUCUUCGGACCUUGCGCUAUCGGAUGAGCCUAUGUCGGAUUAGCUAGUUGGUGAGGUAAUGGCUCACCAAGGCGACGAUCCGUAGCUGGUCUGAGAGGAUGAUCAGCCACACUGGGACUGAGACACGGCCCAGACUCCUACGGGAGGCAGCAGUGGGGAAUAUUGGACAAUGGGGGAAACCCUGAUCCAGCCAUGCCGCGUGUGUGAAGAAGGCCUUCGGGUUGUAAAGCACUUUCAGCGAGGAAGAAGGCCUGAGGGUUAAUACCCUUCAGGAAGGACAUCACUCGCAGAAGAAGCACCUGUGCCUAAUCUCACGUCGCUGCACGACAGCCUGUC